rnacentral:ncRNA from 1 species
GAUAGCGAACAAGUACCGUGAGGGAAAGUUGAAAAGCACUUUGGAGAGAGAGUUAAAAAGUACGUGAAACCGUCGAGAGGCAAACGGGAGGGCCUGUCGGGUCGUUCGGUCGCUUUCAGGCGGGCCGGAGACCGGGUCGCGGGAUCGGGGACCUUCGCGGGCCUCGACUCGCGUCGCCGGCCGACGGCUCGGCGCACUAGCGUCGGACGAGGGCCGCGACCGGCUGGGCGGCGGGCAAACGGCUCCGGGCAAGGUAACCCCGCUUCGGCGGGGUGCUACAGGCCCGGUGCGCGCAAGGGUCGCCGCCCGGUCGAGGAAGAGAUGCGCGCCGCACCUGCCCCGUUCGCGGGGCCGGGGAAGCCGUUCGAGCAGCGUCGUGUCGCGGUCCGGGACUGUCCUCAGUCCCGGGUCGUCUCGGCGCGGUUCCGAGCGGUCGCUCCCUCGCGAGGUGCCGCGGGUCAGCGGCUGACGCCAGCCACCUUCCCGACCCGUCUUGAAACACGGACCAAGGAGUCUAACAUGUGCGCGAGCCGCGGGGCAGUACGAAACCCGUAAGGCGAAAUGAAGGUGAACGCCGGCGCGGUCCGGCGGAGGUUGGAUCCCGUCCCGUCGGGGCGGGCGCACUACCGGCCGAUCUUCUCCGCCCUGUCGGCGAGGUCGAGCGAGAGCGUGCAAGUCGGGACCCGAAAGAUGGUGAACUAUGCCUGAGGAGGUUGAAGCCAGAGGAAACUCUGGUGGAGGACCGUAGCGAUUCUGACGUGCAAAUCGAUCGUCAAAUUUGGGUAUAGGGGCGAAAGACUAAUCGAACCGUCUAGUAGCUGGUUCCCUUCGAAGUUUCCCUCAGGAUAGCUGGCGCUCUGUCGCAGUUUUAUCUGGUAAAGCGAAUGAUUAGAGGUCUUGGGGGCGAAACGCCCUCAACCUAUUCUCAAACUUUAAAUUGGUAAGAAGCCCGACUCGCUCGUUUGGAGCCGGGCAUGGAAUGCGAGU